AACCUUCUGUAUCCGUGAUGAGAUUUCGUCAGAGAUCAACCCGUUGUCGUUGGCUGAUGGUACUUCCCAGAUAAGUGAAGCG
rnacentral:pre_miRNA from 1 species